GUGGCCGAACCCGCAUACUACACGAUAUAAUGAUUCCCCACCUCGGGAGCUAUAGGGAACGAAUUGAGACACAGCCCUGGAUGUAAUCACGUCUGUGCUGAUCACGUGCCUGUACACAAACCCGCCGCAGCUCACUUGCAAAAGAUUAUCCUGUUAUUUAUUACACGUAUAGUAAACGUUUUUAAUGUUAUCAUGAAUCAAUAUUAUAGUUUUGUAUGUCACAUUAUUUUUUGAGAAGAGUCAUGACUCAACGCGGACCUUACACGCUGUUAAUUUGUGUGUGCAUAUGGCGGUACAGGCUCUUUUGCACUCUAUGACCAGCCAUCAUUAAAUCGAAAUACAGUAAAAAAAAAAAUGAGCGCGAAACCCUGACACUUUACAGAAAGGCACGGAUAUCCCCGCCCGAAGAAAAAAAGAGCACAGGACAAUGGUUGCAAGUUAAACAGCUGAACAUUUCACCAUCUGCAAAGAACAUUUCACCAUCGACAUAUCAACAUAAACGGUUCUCUUUUUCGUGUUUGACUGCGUUUGGUACAGGUCACAACAACAACGGCAGAUGCAGAGACCACGCUUUCCCUUGCUUCCACUCCACGGCUGAUCAUGCUUGAGGAUCCAGAUCUACAAAACAAAAAAUGGAUGCUGCCAAUUGAAGGCUAAGUCCGCUUUCCUGCGAUUGACCUACCAUUUCUUCAGCUUUUGCUGUUCACUUUGGUUGCUACUACGUGCUCAACAUCGAGUACCAAGUGGAAGCAGCCACUACUUUGGAGUUUAUUCUGAGAUUUAUUGUGAGGAUCAGCCCCGACAACAGCAAGUGCUCCUCUAAGUUCCAGGUGAGCAAAAGAAGUGGGAAGAUGGUGCAAAGGAAGACCUCUGGCCUGAACCAUCAUGUAUAUAUCCACCUUUAUUCAGGACUUUAUGAAUUAAGCAAAACUAUUAAGCUACUAAAGCAAAUACAUUCUAUUCAACUCACCAGAGGUUUGUGAAGUUCUUUUUUAUCUUAAAGGUUUCUUUUAGUUAAUUUGUCCAUGCACUGAUUUAUAAUAUUGUAAAAUGAAACUCCAGUGUAUACAUGUUACUACUGUUGCUUCUAAAAGCAAAAUAAGUCUACGCAGGAGGGGUUUUGUUACGUUUUUUUUAUUAUUCUUAUAGACGGUUUCAUCGGAUGCACGUGAUACACGUCUGGAUCCGAACCUUACUUCCGGUUUUGCUUUUUUAAUGGUCUGACUAGUUGCUAAACUGAUCUCUUGAACAAAUGCCUCGUCGAAAAUAACAAAUGUUUUGGUUUCCGAGCUAAUCUAUGUGUUGUUUUUUUUUGCUUGUUAUAUAAAUAAAAUGCGUUUAAAGAAAUUUGUUGUUUUUUAUCCUUAGCGGAGUUUAUCGGAAGUUCAUGCGGACCGCGACAGCCGUUUGUUUAUGUUGUUACUGCUGAAACCGUCUAUAGUUAUAACUGAAUUUGUACUAAGAUUAUUUGAUAAUACUGUGAAAUGAAACGGUGAGUAAAUGUUACAUUGGCUUUGAAAAAGCUGUUGCUGCAAGAAAUUACAAUUUACUCAAAAUAAUAUUUUGAAUGUAUGAGUUUUUGACAUUGCUUAUGACUGCAUUUGAAUGUAUUGUUCAUGAAUUGAUGCUGUGAUAUGUGUGUGUAAAUGUUUUGUGUAUUACAGGAUAAAAGAUUUGCUAAAAGUAUUUUGUAUUUGAACAUUGUUAUUAUGACUGAGUUAGUGCAUGACUUGAUUUAAAAUUCUGUAAUAUGAUAUCUAUGAGUAAAUGUUAUUGCCGGUUUGAGAAAAACAGUUUGUGAUGCAAGCUGAAAGUUCAA